rnacentral:tRNA from 1 species
AAAAAUUUAGUUAAAUAAUAACAUUAGUUUGUCAAACUAAAAUUACCAUUAAGGUAAUUUUUU